rnacentral:lncRNA from 1 species
CAGGAAGGCUGUGGUCCAAGGCCAUUUUUGCUGGCUGUACAUGGGGUUUCCAGAACCAAAGGGGGCACACAGCUCUUCUUAAAAUUUCAGCAUUUAUGCCUGGGAUAAACUGAAUUCUAUUUGGGCAAGAGAUGUGCUCAUGUACACAAAGCAAAGAACCACACAGCGACUUCUGGUGGCACACCAAACAAAACCAGAGUAAUCUGGGAAAAAGUAACUUGGGUUCACGGAAACAGUGGCAUGGUUUAUGCCAAAUUCCCAAUCUUCCUGCUAAGACUACAGACACACAAUCUGUGUGAUACUGCACCGCUCAAGGAUUUA